rnacentral:rRNA from 1 species
AUGAGUAACACAACUAUAUCUAUUUGUUCCUGGAAUGUACGAGGACUAGGUGAUGAAUCCAAAUGCGCCGAUGUCCUUUCUGAACUGAUCAGUAUCAAACCCCACUGCGCCCUCAUACAAGAAUCAAAGCUCAAUGAGAUCACCGAACAAAAAUUUAGGUCCUUCUUACCACGAUCUCUAGAUCAAAAAAUCGUCCAACCAGCAGACGGAUCGGCCGGAGGAACCAUCUCUGCUUUCAACAAAAACUACCUCUCCCCAAUCUCUCACUCCAACCACCGUUUUGCCACAUCCAGUACACUCAAAUCACUCGCCCACCCCCUUCCCUUUGUUAUCACAAACGUAUAUGCACCCUCAAACCGCAACCACAAGCAAGACUUCCUCGACGAACUCAGACGCAUCCAAGAAAAUGACCAAACCCCGUGGCUCAUUGCAGGCGACUUUAACCAAAUCCGCUUUCCUAGUGAAAAAAAUAACCGUAAUUUUCACCAACGCGAAGCUGAUGCUUUUAACACUUUGAUCAACGACCUCGCGUUAAUCGAACUACCACUACUUGAUAGACUUUUCACUUGGUCUAACAAAAGAGCAAACCCAACCCUAGAAAGACUUGACAGAGCUUUUAUCAACUUAGCUUGGAACAACUGCUUCCCUAACACAACUCUCUCAUCGCGUCCACGUAUCACAUCCGAUCACGUCCCCCUAAUUAUAAACAUCCACACUACGGUCCCAAAACCACGCCACUUCCAAUUCGAAUCUGUGUGGACUCUAACCGCUGACUGCCACAACAUAAUACAAACAUGCUGGGCUCCAAGUCAACACUCAAACACAACAACAAACUCCGGAACUGCCCUUGCAAAAAAUCUCAAAAAAACCAGAUGCGCCUUAAAACAAUGGGCCUCAAAAAGAUCACCUGCAAUCCAGCGGGAACAAGCUGCAAAGCAAAUCAUAAACUUCAUUGAUCUCAAAGAAGAGGCUCGCCCCCUCUCGAAAGCCGAAAACUUGCUCCGCAUUGUCAUCUCCGAUACACUUCACUCGGCCAUUGCCGAAAAAGUAGCUUUCUGGAAGCAACAUGGCAAGGUCAGAGCGGCCAUAGGCGGCGAAGAGAACUCCCAGUACUUUCAUGCAGCAGCAUCACAAUGA